rnacentral:rRNA from 1 species
GAUGAACGCUGGCGGCGUGCCUAAUACAUGCAAGUCGAGCGAACGGACGAGAAGCUUGCUUCUCUGAUGUUAGCGGCGGACGGGUGAGUAACACGUGGAUAACCUACCUAUAAGACUGGGAUAACUUCGGGAAACCGGAGCUAAUACCGGAUGAUAUUUUGAACCGCAUGGUUCAAAAGUGAAAGACGGUCUUGCCGUCACUUAUAGAUGGAUCCGCGCUGCAUUAGCUAGUUGGUAAGGUAACGGCUUACCAAGGCAACGAUGCAUAGCCGACCUGAGAGGGUGAUCGGCCACACUGGAACUGAGACACGGUCCAGACUCCUACGGGAGGCAGCAGUAGGGAAUCUUCCGCAAUGGGCGAAAGCCUGACGGAGCAACGCCGCGUGAGUGAUGAAGGUCUUCGGAUCGUAAAGCUCUGUUAUUAGGGAAGAACAUAUGUGUAAGUAACUGUGCACAUCUUGACGGUACCUAAUCAGAAAGCCACGGCUAACUACGUG